GCAGUCGUGGCCGAGUGGUUAAGGCGAUGGACAAGAAAUCAAUUGGGGUCUCCCCGCACAGGCUCGAAUCCUGUCGGCUGCG
rnacentral:tRNA from 1 species